UGCUGCAUAAAGAGUAACCCUGUGCUGCUCCACUGGCUUUUCUUGUUGAAUAGCAUGCACAAUCGACUCCAUAGGUUUUUUAAUUUCCUUGCAAAUGACACUAACAACUUCCUCUUUUGACCAUCAAUAGAUAAUAUAGGAACAACUUAAAAAGAGUAUGAAUUUGAUCCUUCUGAAUGAAUAGUCAAUUUGUAUGUCUUCGAAAUAGAGGUUGCCAGAUGUUGUAGAAUUCAUUUUUACUAUUCACUGCCAG
rnacentral:lncRNA from 1 species